GCUGGCGGCGUGCUUAACACAUGCAAGUCGAACGAUGAACCACUUCGGUGGGGAUUAGUGGCGAACGGGUGAGUAACACGUGGGCAAUCUGCCCUGCACUCUGGGACAAGCCCUGGAAACGGGGUCUAAUACCGGAUAUUGACCUUCACGGGCAUCUGUGAGGUUCGAAAGCUCCGGCGGUGCAGGAUGAGCCCGCGGCCUAUCAGCUUGUUGGUGAGGUAAUGGCUCACCAAGGCGACGACGGGUAGCCGGCCUGAGAGGGCGACCGGCCACACUGGGACUGAGACACGGCCCAGACUCCUACGGGAGGCAGCAGUGGGGAAUAUUGCACAAUGGGCGAAAGCCUGAUGCAGCGACGCCGCGUGAGGGAUGACGGCCUUCGGGUUGUAAACCUCUUUCAGCAGGGAAGAAGCGAAAGUGACGGUACCUGCAGAAGAAGCGCCGGCUAACUACGUGCCAGCAGCCGCGGUAAUACGUAGGGCGCAAGCGUUGUCCGGAAUUAUUGGGCGUAAAGAGCUCGUAGGCGGCUUGUCACGUCGGUUGUGAAAGCCCGGGGCUUAACCCCGGGUCUGCAGUCGAUACGGGCAGGCUAGAGUUCGGUAGGGGAGAUCGGAAUUCCUGGUGUAGCGGUGAAAUGCGCAGAUAUCAGGAGGAACACCGGUGGCGAAGGCGGAUCUCUGGGCCGAUACUGACGCUGAGGAGCGAAAGCGUGGGGAGCGAACAGGAUUAGAUACCCUGGUAGUCCACGCCGUAAACGGUGGGCACUAGGUGUGGGCAACAUUCCACGUUGUCCGUGCCGCAGCUAACGCA
rnacentral:rRNA from 1 species